CCCUUAGAUGCUCUGGGCCGCACGCGCGCUACACUGGUCGAUGCAACGAGUUUCUUUCCUUGGCCGACAGGCCUGGGCAAUCUUUGAACAUCGAUCGUAAUCGGGAUAGAUUCUUGUAAUUUUUGAUCUUAAACGAGGAAUUCCUAGUAAACGCAAGUCAUCAGCUUGCAUUGAUUACGUCCCUGCCCUUUGUACACACCGCCCGUCGCACCUACCGAUUGAAUGGUCCGGUGAAAUCUCCGGACUGGCGUGAGUCGGAGCAAUCUGACAAACACCGGAAAGUUGAUUAAACCUUACCAUUUAGAGGAAGGUGAAGUCGUAACA
rnacentral:rRNA from 1 species